ACAACAUUAGGACCGUCUGUCUAUCGAGCGAUAUUACCUGCUCGGUGGAAAAUCUUCCUUUCAUCGU
rfam:Bombyx mori DNA, contig: Bm_scaf244_contig41956, strain: p50T/Dazao, build 2, whole genome shotgun sequence.